CCUACGGGGAGCAGCAGUAGGGAAUUUUCCACAAUGGGCGAAAGCCUGAUGGAGCAACGCCGCGUGGGUGAAGAAGGUCUUCGGAUCGUAAAACCCUGUUGUUAGAGAAGAAAAUGCGUGAGAGUAACUGUUCACGUCUUGACGGUAACUAACCAGAAAGCCACGGCUAACUACGUGCCAGCAGCCGCGGUAAUACGUAGGUGGCAAGCGUUAUCCGGAUUUAUUGGGCGUAAAGCGGACGCAGGCGGUGUUUUAAGUCUGAUGUGAAAGCCUUCGGCUUAACCGGAGUAGGUCAUUGGAAACUGGAAGACUUGAGUGCAGAAGAGGAAAGUGGAAGUCCAUGUGUAGCGGUGAAAUGCGUAGAUAUAUGGAAGAACACCAGUGGCGAAGGCGACUCUCUGGUCUGUAACUGACGCUGAGGUUCGAAAGCGUGGGUAGCAAACAGGAUUAGAUACCCGUGUAGUC
rnacentral:rRNA from 1 species